GACGAACGCUGGCGGCGUGCUUAACACAUGCAAGUCGAGCGGUAAGGCCCUUUCGGGGGUACACGAGCGGCGAACGGGUGAGUAACACGUGGGUGACCUGCCCUCAGCUCUGGGAUAAGCCUGGGAAACCGGGUCUAAUACUGGAUAUGACUCCAUGACGCAUGUUGUGGGGUGGAAAGCCUUGUGCGGCUGAGGAUGGGCCCGCGGCCUAUCAGCUUGUUGGUGGGGUGAUGGCCUACCAAGGCGACGACGGGUAGCCGGCCUGAGAGGGCGACCGGCCACACUAGGACUGAGACGCGGCCCAGACUCCUACGGGAGGCAGCAGUGGGGAAUCUUGCGCAAUGGGCGAAAGCCUGACGCAGCGACGCCGCGUGAGGGAUGACGGCCU
rnacentral:rRNA from 1 species